rnacentral:rRNA from 1 species
UACAGAGGCCUCAAGCGGUGUUCGGAAUUACUGGGCGUAAAGAGAAUGUAGGUGGUGAUGCAAGUCAGAUGUGAAAGCCCUGGGCUUAACCCGGGAACUGCAUUUGAAACUGCAUCGCUGGAGUGCGGAAGAGGAGAGAGGAAUUCCUGGUGUAGGGGUGAAAUCCGUAGAUAUCAGGAGGAAUACCGACGGCGAAGGCAUCUCUCUGGUCCGUUACUGACACUGAGAUUCGAAAGCAUGGGUAGCAAACAGG